rnacentral:hammerhead_ribozyme from 1 species
AUUCAGCUGACAAGUCCCAAAAUAGGACGAAACGCGCGUCCUGGAU